rnacentral:rRNA from 1 species
AUUGAACGCUGGCGGCAGGCCUAACACAUGCAAGUCGAAUGGAAACAGGAAACAGCUUCCUGUUUUGCUGAGCGGUGGCGGACGGGUGAGUUAUGUAUGGGCAACUUCGUGAUGGAGGGGGAUCACUACUGGAAACGGAUGCUAAUUCCGCACAACGUCGCAAGCUCAAGGAGGGGGACCUUCGGGGCUCUUGCCUUUAGCUAUGUCCAAAUGGGAUUUGUUUGUAGGUGGGGUAACGGCUCACCCCGGCGGCGAUCCGUAGUUGGUGUGAGAGGAUGAACAGCCACACUGGAACUGAGACACGGUCCAGACUCCUACGGGAGGCAGCAGUGGGGAAUAUUGGACAAUGGGCGGAAGCCUGAUGCAGCCAUGCCGCGUGUGUGAAGAAGGUCUUCGGGUUGUAAAGUACUUUCAGUUGGGAGGAAGGGAGUAAAGUUAAUACCUUGGCGCAUUGACGUUACCCGCAGAAGAAGCACCGGCUAACUCCGUG